rnacentral:misc_RNA from 1 species
GAUGAAGAACGUAGUGAAAUGCGAUAAGUUGUGUGAAUUGCAGAAUUCAGUGAAUCAUCGAAUCUUUGAACGCACAUUGCGCCCCAUGGUAUUCCGUGGGGCAUGCCUGUUCGAGCGUCAUUUACCCCCUCAAGCUCCGCUUGGUGUUGGGCGUCUGUCCCGCUUCGCGCGCGGACUCGCCCCAAAGGUAUUGGCAGCGGUCGUGCCAGCUUCUCGCGCAGCACAUUGCGCUUCUCGAGGCACCGGUGGGCCCGCGUCCAUCAAGCUCACCCCCCCAGUUUGACCUCGGAUCAGGUAGGGAUACCCGCUGAACUUAAGCAUAUCAAUAAGCGGAGGA